rnacentral:rRNA from 1 species
AUGGGGCAUGGGCUUCAGGAGUAUGCAAGCAGAAAUGGAGGGAGGAAAAUGCAUAUUGAUUUUACAGCAGGGAAAGUGAGACCUACAGACCCAGUCCAAGCAGCAAAGCUUUCUUCUAAGUGUGGUAUCCACAUCAGGAGCAGAAUGCAUGUUGCUACGCACUGGAAGGACUAUGCCAAAAGCCCACUCAAACAUGUUAUUCCCCAUGCUAUUAAAGAUAUUGCACUUAACUUUGAGAUGGAAAAGGAUGACAAGGUUGGGAAUGAUGUAUGCACAAAAGUAAUCCAGAAGGGUGUUCGACAACAAUGCUAUAGGCUAAAGAAGAAAUACUUCAAUGGUUAUACUGCUCAGGAAGCAUUAUCAAAUAAGCCAGCAAACAUUACUCACGAGAAUUGGACCAGCCUUGUCAAUAAAUGGUCCGAUGAAAGAAACAAGCAAUUAUGUCAAAUGAAUAAGGAAAACCGAGAAGCUGUCAAGCAUCACCAGAAGACUGGAUCUAUGUCUUAUGUUGCCUAUUUCAGCAAACUUAAAAAAGACAAGUACAAUAAUCAGGAACCAAGUCCCAUUGAGUUUUUCAAAGAUACCCAUACAAACAGCAAGACUGGUAGCAUGAGCGAGCCAGCACUUCUAGCUCAUAAUGCGAUGGAAAAGAAAAGGAAAACACAAUCAAAAGGUGAGCAACCAGUAUCUGAUACAGCGAUUGUGGCUGAAGUUCUAAAGGACGAAAGCGCCCAUAGCACCUUCCUUUCCAGCAUGGGGUAUGCAUCAAGAUCUGGGAGGUCUGGGAGCUCUACUUCAUCAGCCCAGAUCCGAAUUUUAGAAGAAAGAAUUGAACAGAAGGAUAGAGAGGCAAGAGAUGCAAAUGACAGGUGA